AGAGGAAUUGCUGGGUCAUAUGGUAGCCCUGUUUUCAAUUUUUUGAGGAAUCGCCAGACUGCUUUCCAUAGUGCUUUACCAUCUACAUUCCCACCAGCAGU
rnacentral:pre_miRNA from 2 species